UACGAAGGGGGCUAGCGUUGUUCGGAAUUACUGGGCGUAAAGGGCGCGUAGGCGGUGUGUCAAGUCAGGCGUGAAAGCCCCGGGCUCAACCUGGGAACCGCGCUUGAGACUGGCACGCUCGAGUUCGGGAGAGGAUGGUGGAAUUCCCAGUGUAGAGGUGAAAUUCGUAGAUAUUCGGAAGAACACCAGUGGCGAAGGCGGGUCUCUGGGCCGAUACUGACGCUGAGGAGCGAAAGCGUGGGGAGCGAACAGG
rnacentral:rRNA from 1 species